rnacentral:rRNA from 1 species
UACGUAGGUGGCGAGCGUUGUCCGGAUUUACUGGGCGUAAAGGGAGCGUAGGCGGGCUUCUAAGUGAGAUGUGAAAUACUCGGGCUCAACUUGAGUGCUGCAUUUCAAACUGGAAGUCUAGAGUGCAGGAGAGGAGAAUGGAAUUCCUAGUGUAGCGGUGAAAUGCGUAGAGAUUAGGAAGAACACCAGUGGCGAAGGCGAUUCUCUGGACUGUAACUGACGCUGAGGCUCGAAAGCGUGGGGAGCAAACAGG